GGCGGCGCGUCUUAAACAUGCAAGUCGAGCGGCAGCACUUCGGGUGGCGAGCGGCGAACGGGUGAGUAACACGUAGGUAAUUUGCCCACGGAUGGGGGAUAACCUUUCGAAAGGAAGGCUAAUACCGCAUAACACCACGGUGUCUAUGGACAUUGUGGUCAAAGCAGCAAUGCGUCUGUGGAGAAGCCUGCGUCCGAUUAGGUAGUUGGUGAGGUAACGGCUCACCAAGCCAGCGAUCGGUAGCCGGCCUGAGAGGGUGAACGGCCACACUGGAACUGGGACACGGUCCAGACUCCUACGGGAGGCAGCAGUUAAGAAUCUUGCUCAAUGGGGGGAA
rnacentral:rRNA from 1 species